GUUGUGGCUUUUGAUGAUGGUGAACCUGUGAUGUCCAGCAGUGCCACUGUGAGAAUUCUUGUCUUACAUCCUGGAGAGAUCCCACGCUUCACCCAAGAGGAAUACAGACCUCCUCCUGUGAGCGAGCUUGCUGCCAGAGGGACUGUAGUAGGCGUCAUUUCUGCUGCCGCCAUCAAUCAGAGCAUCGUGUACUCCAUUGUGGCAGGAAAUGAGGACGAUAAAUUUGGAAUCAACAAUGUCACUGGCGUCAUCUAUGUGAAUUCCCCACUGGAUUACGAGACAAGGACUAGCUAUGUGCUCCGGGUGCAAGCAGAUUCUCUGGAAGUGGUCCUCGCCAAUCUCCGAGUCCCUUCAAAAAGUAA
rnacentral:lncRNA from 1 species